rnacentral:rRNA from 1 species
GGUUAAGCGACUAAGCGUACACGGUGGAUGCCCUGGCAGUCAGAGGCGAUGAAGGACGUGCUAAUCUGCGAUAAGCGUCGGUAAGGUGAUAUGAACCGUUAUAACCGGCGAUUUCCGAAUGGGGAAACCCAGUGUGAUUCGUCACACUAUCAUUAACUGAAUCCAUAGGUUAAUGAGGCGAACCGGGGGAACUGAAACAUCUAAGUACCCCGAGGAAAAGAAAUCAACCGAGAUUCCCCCAGUAGCGGCGAGCGAACGGGGAGCAGCCCAGAGCCUGAAUCAGUGUGUGUGUUAGUGGAAGCGUCUGGAAAGGCGCGCGAUACAGGGUGACAGCCCCGUACACAAAAAUGCACAUGCUGUGAGCUCGAUGAGUAGGGCGGGACACGUGGUAUCCUGUCUGAAUAUGGGGGGACCAUCCUCCAAGGCUAAAUACUCCUGACUGACCGAUAGUGAACCAGUACCGUGAGGGAAAGGCGAAAAGAACCCCGGCGAGGGGAGUGAAAAAGAACCUGAAACCGUGUACGUACAAGCAGUGGGAGCACGCUUAGGCGUGUGACUGCGUACCUUUUGUAUAAUGGGUCAGCGACUUAUAUUCUGUAGCAAGGUUAACCGAAUAGGGGAGCCGAAGGGAAACCGAGUCUUAACUGGGCGUUAAGUUGCAGGGUAUAGACCCGAAACCCGGUGAUCUAGCCAUGGGCAGGUUGAAGGUUGGGUAACACUAACUGGAGGACCGAACCGACUAAUGUUGAAAAAUUAGCGGAUGACUUGUGGCUGGGGGUGAAAGGCCAAUCAAACCGGGAGAUAGCUGGUUCUCCCCGAAAGCUAUUUAGGUAGCGCCUCGUGAAUUCAUCUCCGGGGGUAGAGCACUGUUUCGGCAAGGGGGUCAUCCCGACUUACCAACCCGAUGCAAACUGCGAAUACCGGAGAAUGUUAUCACGGGAGACACACGGCGGGUGCUAACGUCCGUCGUGAAGAGGGAAACAACCCAGACCGCCAGCUAAGGUCCCAAAGUCAUGGUUAAGUGGGAAACGAUGUGGGAAGGCCCAGACAGCCAGGAUGUUGGCUUAGAAGCAGCCAUCAUUUAAAGAAAGCGUAAUAGCUCACUGGUCGAGUCGGCCUGCGCGGAAGAUGUAACGGGGCUAAACCAUGCACCGAAGCUGCGGCAGCGACGCUUAUGCGUUGUUGGGUAGGGGAGCGUUCUGUAAGCCUGUGAAGGUGUGCUGUGAGG